UCACCGCUUGCGCGGGCAGUCCUAUUAGAGUCCCCGACAUUACUCGUUGGCAACUAACAGUAGGGGUUGCGCUCGUUGCAGGACUUAACCUAACACCUCACGGCACGAGCUGACGACAGCCAUGCAGCACCUAGUUUCGUGUCUCUUGCGAGCCUGACCCUUUUCGGGGUCAUUCACUAACUUUCAAGCCCAGGUAAGGUUCCUCGCGUAUCAUCGAAUUAAACCACAUGCUCCACUGCUUGUGCGGGCCCCCGUCAAUUCCUUUGAGUUUCAACCUUGCGAUUGUACUUCCCAGGUGGAAUACUUAAUGCGUUAGCUUGGAUACUGAUCUUAAAAAAGACCAACAUCUAGUAUUCAUCGUUUAGGGUGUGGACUAC
rnacentral:misc_RNA from 1 species